rnacentral:misc_RNA from 1 species
AACUUUCGGCAACGGAUCUCUUGGCUCUCGCAUCGAUGAAGAACUCAGCGAAAUGCGAUAAGUAAUGUGAAUUGCAGAAUUCAGUGAAUCAUCGAAUCUUUGAACGCAUCUUGCGCUCCUUGGUAUUCUGAGGAGCAUGCCUGUUUGAGUGUCAUUAAAUUCUCAACUACACUGACUUGGUGUGGCUUGGAUUUGGGGUUUGUGGGCUUUUUGUAGUCUGCUCCCCUGAAAUUAAUUAGCGGUACCUUGGUGGAACUGUCUACAGGUGUGAUAAUUAUCUACAUCCUAGACAUCUGCUGGAAUGCUGCUUUCUAGACCUUACUUGUAUUGACAAUCUUGACCUCAAAUCAGGUAGGACUACCCGCUGAACUUAAGCAUAUCAAUAAGCGGAGGCU